UGCCCUGAGCCGGAGGCAGAUGCUUGACCACUGAGCCAACCAGGCGUCUUUCUGUGAGGUAGUCUGGAUUUUGUCCCUUUUGGCCUUCCAAGCUUGCAUCAAGAGCAUGCCCCUCAUCAUACCAACUGAAGAAUGCAUGGCAGUCCCCAGGAGUGCCCACAUGUGGACCCAGCACUGAGCCAGGCACACAAGAGGUAUGUUUCUGUAAGUAGCUGCCCAGCAAAUAGGUGUGGUUGAGGGUGUGUUUGCUGGUGUGAGGUGGGAGAAGGACAGGGCAGGGCGUGAAGGGAAAACUACCACAAGAGGAAGGCAUAAUUGGAGUGUGACCUUCCCACAUCGCUAAAAUUCCCAGAAGACAUCUUGGAUCUCUACAGAAGCUGUAAGAAAGGGCAAGGUUGGAGCGUGCAGCUGAGCAGAACACUGAGUUAAGUGCAGGCGCUGAUCCCUGAAAGACCCAGCUCAACCGGGGAGAGAAGGCGACCGGAGGGGACAUGAUGUGCGUCGUGUCAGCAAAACUUCCCAGCCCCGUUGCUGCAUGUUAAGAUUUGCUUGGUCAUUAAGAUUCAACAGGGAGAAGCAGAGUCUCUCUGUCUUGAAGAUGCCUGUGGAGAAUAGACUGUACAAGCACAGAUCUGGACGGUGGAAGGGCUCAUGAAUUAUGUCUCAAAACCUAUGGGAAAAAGUGGUGUGAAAUGGCUGUUGUUAUUAGAAGUGUAUUUUAUUACCAUAGUUUGGAAGGCUGUGUGGAGACUGGAAAUGCUUUCUCUAGGACCCUCCCCACAGGUGGAGGAGGUUUUCUGUAUUUGCAGCCUGUCUGCUUUCCUAUUAAUCAUUCCGAUUCUCUCCUGCGCAUAUGUCACGCGCCUCUCUAUUUGAAGACUUUAUCGGUAUUUAUCUUGUAGCCUUUAAUAAAUCAUCUGCUGAUUGCAUGUGAUCCAGGGUAGUUUACAUGAAUAGAACACUACCCUAUCCCCACUUCAGUACCUUGCUUUGACAUGUCUGUGUAGCUUCUGUUCUGGAUGUUUCUCUGAAAUGGGAGCUAGAGGACAGGUGGAAUUGACUUAUCUCAUAAUGUUCGUUUGGGGAGAAAUGGGAAUUUCACUUAACCUAAUUAUCUGUGGUCAUUAUUUUAUAGGAGGAUGCACAUUAAACAGAAACAUUUGUUAAAAUAGAAUAACAUGGACCCUUGAAAAUGAAGUUUGCCCUCUGGGGUGGGGGGUGCGGUGUGUGCUUUAAUUACCCUUCUGAAGCCCUUCAGUUCGUGGCAUGUUCUAAGCCAGGCAU